rnacentral:rRNA from 1 species
GAUGAACGCUGGCGGCGUGCCUAAUACAUGCAAGUCGAGCGAACGGACGAGAAGCUUGCUGUUCUGAUGUUAGCGGCGGACGGGUGAGUAACACGUGGAUAACCUACCUAUAAGACUGGGAUAACUUCGGGAAACCGGAGCUAAUACCGGAUAAUAUUUUGAACCGCAUGGUUCAAAAGUGAAAGACGGUCUUGCUGUCACUUAUAGAUGGAUCCGCGCUGCAUUAGCUAGUUGGUAAGGUAACGGCUUACCAAGGCAACGAUGCAUAGCCGACCUGAGAGGGUGAUCGGCAACAUUGGAACUGAGACACGGUCCAGACUCCUACGGGAGGCAGCAGUAGGGAAUCUUCCGCAAUGGGCGAAAGCCUGACGGAGCAACGCCGCGUGAGUGAUGAAGGUCUUCGGAUCGUAAAACUCUGUUAUUAGGGAAGAACAUAUGUGUAAGUAACUGUGCACAUCUUGACGGUACCUAAUCAGAAAGCCACGGCUAACUACGUG